rnacentral:rRNA from 1 species
GCAAGUCGAGGGGCAGCGAGAGGAAAGCUUGCUUUCCUGUCGGCGACCGGCGCACGGGUGAGUAACGCGUAUCCAACCUUCCCCAUAGUAGAGGAUAGCCCGGCGAAAGUCGGAUUAAUACUCUAUGUUGUGUCAUGAGGACAUCUGAAUAACACUAAAGAUUUAUCGCUAUGGGAUGGGGAUGCGUCUGAUUAGCUUGUUGGCGGGUAACGGCCCACCAAGGCGACGAUCAGUAGGGGUUCUGAGAGGAAGGUCCCCCACACUUGGUACUGAGACACGGACCAAACUCCUACGGGAGGCAGCAGUGAGGAAUAUUGGUCAAUGGGCGCGAGCCUGAACCAGCCAAGUAGCGUGCCAGGAUGACUGCCCUAUGGGUUGUAAACUGUCUUUUAUGCGGGAAUAAAGUCAGGUACGUGUACCUUGUUUGUAUGUACCGCAUGAAUAAGGACCGGCUAAUUCCGUGCCAGCCGCCGC